rnacentral:snRNA from 1 species
GGAUGUGAGGGUGAUCUGGCUGCAACAUCUGUCACCCUAUUGAUGGCCAGGGUUGGUUCGGCUGAUCUGGCUGGCUAGGUGGGUGUCCCCUUCCUCCCUCACCACUCCAUGUGCAUUAGUCCCGAAGCUGAAUGCUCGGUCGACGUGGAUGACCUUCCCCGAUACAGGUGGUACUGUUCAUCAGUCAUGGGUAUACGGUAGCUGUGCUCCCCUCCUAGAACCUCCAAACAAGCUCAAGGUCCAGUUGUAGGAGAACGUAGGGUAAUCAAGCUUCCAAGACUGCAGACACAUCCAACUGAGGCGCUGCACAUGACAGUCUGGCAUACUUU